CCACUGAUUUGUUUUAAAGGGCCGCGGUAUAUUGACCGUGCGAAGGUAGCAUAAUCAUUAGUCUUUUAAUUGGAGGCUUGUAUGAAUGGUUGGACAAAAAGUAAGCUGUCUCGGUUAUAAUAAUUGAACUUAACUUUUAAGUGAAAAGGCUUAAAUGUUUCAGGGGGACGAUAAGACCCUAUAAAGCUUGACAAUAAUUUCGUUAUAUUAUAAAUUGUUAGUAUAACUUGAUUUUAACGGGAGUUUGUUUCGUUGGGGCGACGGGAAUAUAAUAAAUAACUGUUCUUUUAAAUAUAAUUACAAAAAUACUUGGUAAAUAAUUGAUCCUCUAUUAGAGAUUAAAAGAUUAAGUUACUUUAGGGAUAACAGCGUAAUCUUCUUUGAGAGUCCACAUCGACAAGAAGGUUUGCGACCUCGAUGUUGAAUUAAGGUAUCCUUAUAAUGCAGCAGUUAUAAAGGAGGGUCUGUUCGACCUUUAAAUCCUUACGUGAUCUG
rnacentral:rRNA from 1 species